UAGUUUGCAUGAAUGCCUUGAUGGUGUUAUUUUCUGCACGAUUUGUGCGGUUGCAUCGCUGAUGUUGCUUACGGUUUUCGCUAACGGUUCAAAGGCGAGCUGGGGGAUCGCAGUAGCGUGACGAUUGAAUGAUGAUAUAUUGCUACCUGGUCUAGACAGUAACACUAGAUUUGCUUGUAUAUCACAUAUAGGUGAUGGUGUGAUUUGAUUAGUAAUCUGGUCUUCUGCACUUCUGGUGAUGGAGUACUACUUUGUGCAGCCCAGUCCUCUUUGUGUUGCCAUCAGAGGAUGCAACAUAGUCCCACUGUGUUAGCAGCUGAUAAGUGUGUUUACCCCCAGAUGCAAACUCGUAUGUGGACUUACAUAACAUAGAAUUAAAUGGAUUCUUACAUUAUUUCCCUAGACAUACGUGUUAAUGUCUGAUCCAUUAUGUUCAGUUUAUGAUAUACGUAUUCUGCAACUUAAAAGUUGAUGUGCUUUGCUAAAGUUAGGACAGAAC
rnacentral:lncRNA from 1 species